UACGAGGGGGGCGAGCGUUGUUCGGAAUUAUUGGGCGUAAAGGGUGCGUAGGCGGUUUGGUAAGUCUGAUGAUGAAUACUAUGGCGCACACUAUCUGAUCGGAAACUGCCGGGCUUGAGUAUGGGAGAGGUGAGUGGAAUUCCUGGUGUAGCGGUGAAAUGCGUAGAUAUCGGGAAGAACACCCGUGGCGAAGGCGGUUCUCUGGGACGGUACUGACGCUGAGACGCGAAAGCGUGGGGAGCGAACAGG
rnacentral:rRNA from 1 species